rnacentral:rRNA from 1 species
GAUCCUGGCUCAGAUUGAACGCUGGCGGCAGGCCUAACACAUGCAAGUCGAACGGUAACAGAAAGCAGCUUGCUGCUUUGCUGACGAGUGGCGGACGGGUGAGUAAUGUCUGGGAAACUGCCCGAUGGAGGGGGGAUAACUACUGGAAACGGUAGCUAAUACCGCAUAACGUCGCAAGACCAAAGAGGGGGACCUUAGGGCCUCUUGCCAUCGGAUGUGCCCAGAUGGGUNUAGUCUAGUAGGUAGGGG